UACGGGGGGGGUAAGCGUUGUUCGGAAUUACUGGGCGUAAAGGGCUCGUAGGCGGCCAACUAAGUCAGACGUGAAAUCCCUCAGCUUAACUGGGGAACUGCGUCUGAUACUGGAUGGCUUGGAUUUGGGAGAGGGAUGCGGAAUUCCAGGUGUAGCGGUGAAAUGCGUAGAUAUCUGGAGGAACACCGGUGGCGAAGGCGGCAUUCUGGACCGAUAUUGACGCUGAGGAGCGAAAGCCAGGGGAGCAAACGGG
rnacentral:rRNA from 1 species